CCAGAGCCUGCUCCCACUCUUCAUCCACUGGCAUGAGGAGAACCAGGAUGUGGAAGAGGCCUCUGGGGAAGUGCUGAUUCAUGCACUCAGCUUCCUGAAGAGAAGGGAUCUCAAGAACCUGCUGGAGGCGGAUAAGCUGUAGUGGUUCUGCAACUGCUUGCCCUUGAAGGCAUCACUCCUGACAGUGCUGCUAUCUCAAGCCUAGCAGUUCUAACUGUUAAAUUCCUAAGAGCUGCAAAGAGACCUCAGUCUUCUGCAUGUUCCAGCAAGCCCAAGCCUAGCUCCAGAAUGUGGGGAGUAGGAUGCCUCCUCUGUGGGGCAGCUGCCAGAA